UUCCAUGUGGCGGAGUGAACAAGCUGCCUGCAUAUAGGAAGCCAUCUGACCGCUCCUGAGGCAGUUGGCUCGUCUGUGCCCACCUAGGCCAUCUCUGAUCUAUAGCUACGUCCUUCGACACGUUCGUUACAACUACCCGCUACAGAUGGAUACCUGAGAGGCACCCUUAAUCGAUUUACUGCACCGGAAACAACUGUCGAACUAUUUAACCGAUCCAGUAACAGCUGCGAUUUCUCGAGGAGCGUAGUAUUGACCAUUCGGAUCGAGUACCUGAAAGUUUGAUAACCGGAGUAAAAAGAAGAUUCGGUGCUGCACAGGGACGCCUGCUUUACGUUCAUUCAUCACGGAAUACGUGAAAUUGUACCUACAUGGAUCCAUGGACACGUAUACACUAUACGUGUACAACAAUUAACAACGAAGAGAUUUUACAUCACUAUACCCAUUGAAUCCAGAUGACAAAGGAGUCGGAAUAUCAUCAUUAUCAUAUUUGAAACUCACCGG